rnacentral:tRNA from 1 species
UGACUUAGCUCAACGGUAGAGCAAUCGGCUGUUAACCGAUCGGUUGUAGGUUCGAAUCCUAUAGUCA